GGUUGGGUUAGGGGUAGGGUUAGAAGUAGGAUUAGGAUUGGGUUAGGGUUAGGGUAGGGUUAGGAGUAGGGGUAGGGUUGGGUUAGGAGUAGGAUUAGGAGUAGGGUUAGGGUACUCUACUCCUAACCCUAACCUACCCCUAACCCUACUCCCAACCCUAACCCUACUGCUAACCCUAACCCAACCCUACCCCUUACCCAACCCUAACCCAAACCCUACUCCUAGCCCAACCCUUACCCUAAUCUUAACCCUACCCCUAACCCUAACC